rnacentral:rRNA from 1 species
AGAGUUUGAUCCUGGCUCAGGACGAACGCUGGCGGCGCGCUUAACACAUGCAAGUCGAGCGAGAACCAGGGCUUCGGCCCUGGGGAAAGCGGCGAACGGGUGAGUAACACGUGAGUAAUCCACCCUCGGUACCGGGAUAGCCCGGGGAAACCCGGAUUAAUACCGGAUGGCCCGACAGCCUCUCGAGGCGGUCGGAAAAGAUAGCUUCGGCCUUCGACCGAGGACGAGCUCGCGGCGGAUUAGCUUGUUGGUGGGGUAACGGCCCACCAAGGCGACGAUCCGUAGCUGGUCUGAGAGGACGAUCAGCCACACUGGGACUGAGACACGGCCCAGACUCCUACGGGAGGCAGCAGUGGGGAAUCUUGCGCAAUGGGCGAAAGCCUGACGCAGCGACGCCGCGUGCGGGAAGAAGGCCUUCGGGUUGUAAACCGCUUUCAGGAGGGACGAAGCCACUCGGGUUAACAGCCCAGAGGGUGACGGUACCUUCAGAAGAAGCCCCGGCUAACUACGUGCCAGCAGCCGCGGUAAUAC